rnacentral:miRNA from 1 species
UGCCUCAUUGACCGGAAGGCAUUCCUUCUGGCCAAUGAAAAACAAAAACACAAUUGACCGGGACCGGAAGGAAUCCCUUCCAGUCAAUGGUGUUGUUGUUUCUCAUGGACCGGAAGGAUUCCCUUCCAGUCAAUGAGGUU